GGACCACUUUCCAUGGGAAAAGUCAAGGCCAUACGGACAGCCGGGUCCACUGCCGA
rnacentral:sRNA from 12 species